AGUGAACGCUGGCGGUAGGCCUAACACAUGCAAGUCGAACGGCAGCACAGAGGAGCUUGCUCCUUGGGUGGCGAGUGGCGGACGGGUGAGGAAUACAUCGGAAUCUACUCUGUCGUGGGGGAUAACGUAGGGAAACUUACGCUAAUACCGCAUACGACCUACGGGUGAAAGCAGGGGAUCUUCGGACCUUGCGCGAUUGAAUGAGCCGAUGUCGGAUUAGCUAGUUGGCGGGGUAAAGGCCCACCAAGGCGACGAUCCGUAGCUGGUCUGAGAGGAUGAUCUGCCACACUGGAACUGCGACACGGUCCAGACUCCUACGGGAGGCAGCAGUGGGGAAUAUUGGACAAUGGGCGCAAGCCUGAUCCAGCCAUACCGCGUGGGUGAAGAAGGCCUUCGGGUUGUAAAGCCCUUUUGUUGGGAAAGAAAUCCAUCUGGUUAAUACCCGGGUGGGAUGACGGUACCCAAAGAAUAAGCACCGGCUAACUUCGUGCCAGCCGCCGCGGUAA
rnacentral:rRNA from 1 species